rnacentral:rRNA from 1 species
CCUACGGGAGGCAGCAGUGGGGAAUCUUAGACAAUGGGGGCAACCCUGAUCUAGCCAUGCCGCGUGAGUGAUGAAGGCCUUAGGGUCGUAAAGCUCUUUCGCCUGUGAUGAUAAUGACAGUAGCAGGUAAAGAAACCCCGGCUAACUCCGUGCCAGCAGCCGCGGUAAUACGGAGGGGGUUAGCGUUGUUCGGAAUUACUGGGCGUAAAGCGCGCGUAGGCGGAUUAGAAAGUUGGGGGUGAAAUCCCGGGGCUCAACCCCGGAACUGCCUCCAAAACUGCUAGUCUAGAGUUCGAGAGAGGUGAGUGGAAUUCCGAGUGUAGAGGUGAAAUUCGUAGAUAUUCGGAGGAACACCAGUGGCGAAGGCGGCUCACUGGCUCGAUACUGACGCUGAGGUGCGAAAGUGUGGGGAGCAAACAGGAUUAGAUACCCCGGUAGUCCACACCGUAAACGAUGAAUGCCAGUCGUCGGAUAGUAUACUAUUCGGUGACACACCUAACGGAUUAAGCAUUCCGCCUGGGGAGUACGGUCGCAAGAUUAAAACUCAAAGGAAUUGACGG